CAAUGGCUAUGGAGACCUUAUAUAUUUUCAUGUUUAUGAACAUUUUGUCAUAUGUCCGCUCGGAUAUUGUCUUGACCCAGAAAGUCAGUGAAGUCAAAAAGCCAGGAGAGUCUCUGCAACUGACCUGCCAAGGUUCAGGGCAGGACAGUUCUGGAAGAACUGUUGCUGCUUACGACUUGCACUGGAUCAGACAAGAGCCUGGAAAAGGACUUGAAUGGCAGGCUUACAUUAACCCUGGCAGCAGCACUAUAAAGUAUGCCAGCAGCAUUAAAGGAAGGUUUACAGUCUCCAGAGACAACUCUAAACAGGCUCUGUAUUUGGACAUGAGCAGCCUCAAGCCUGAAGAUACGGCCAAAUAUUACUGCACUACACACACAAUGAGGAACUUCAUGCUGUUUCUUAUACAAAAUCAAAAAAAGUAA